GAGUUUUGGUCCCAACAUUUUAGGAAUAAGGGGCCAAAAAGGGCCCAAAUAAGCAUUUUCUUGGUUUUCGCACUAUAACUUUAGUUGAAGUUAAUAGAAAUCUAUGAAAUUUUGACACAAGGUUUAUGACCACAAAAGAAAGGUUGGGAUUGAUUUUGGGAGUUUUGUUUCCAACAGUUUAGGAAUUAGGGGCCAAAAAAAGGGCCCAAAUAAGCAUUAUUCUUGGUUUUUGCACAAUAACUUUAGUUUAAGUAAAUAGAAAUCAAUGAAAUUUAAACACAAUGUUUAUGAUCACAAAAGGAAGGUUGGUAUUGAUUUUGGGAGUUUUGGUCCCAACAGUUUAGGAAUAAAGGGCCCAAAGGGUCCAAAAUUAAACUUUGUUUGAUUUCAUCAAAAAUUGAAUAAUUGGGGUUCUUUGAUAUGCCGAAUCUAACUGUGUAUGUAGAUUCUUAAUUUUUGGUCCCGUUUUCAAAUUGGUCUACAUUAAGGUCCAAAGGGUCCAAAAUUAAACUUAGUUUGAUUUUUACAAAAAUUGAAUCCUUGGGGUUCUUUG
rnacentral:lncRNA from 1 species